AGCGCGCGUAUCUCAUGGCCCAACUACUGCUCAGGGCGCAGUCUGCUCGUCAGGCUUUCUGCUGCGCGCCCUUGGGGUCAAGUUCGCGAACGGCCGCAGUGUUGGCAACCCUUUUUUCUUUUUUCAUACUAUCUAUGCUGAGAUUGAGGGGGCCGUUUUGUCACAGAAGUUCAACACAUUUUAGGCUCGUCCCAAACUAGCAAGAUCAGACUUUUAUCAAAUGACUGGAGAAAAGAAGCCGGCACAUGAGCAGUGGAGUACGGGGGUGUGGAAGGAGUGCAUGCAAGACUUUGGGGUAAAAACUCGGACCCAAAUCAGACACUACAUAGAAUGAGGUGGAGGAUCGGAUCGAGUCAACCCAAUGAGUUCAAGCACUCCCCGUGUGAACUAUCAGGUCCUGAAUGCUAGAACCUGGCGUCCAGAAGUGCCAGUUGAGGCCAGGCAGCUUGAAAAAACCCGAGAGGAGAGCACAGGCCAGAGCCAUAUCAACAAAAUAGACCCACUGAAUGAUUUCAUUUGCUUUUAUG
ensembl:lncRNA